CUUGGGGGGCGGAAUAUUCAUGGAGCUGCGGACACGGACAACGUGCGCCCGUUAACGAACCCCGGAUCACUUCUCUCGCCUCUUCACUCCAGUUGACAGCCCCACUCGGGGAAACGAAGGUGUCGCUUGGUCUGGCGCCUCACCGCUCGUGAUGGAAAAAUCAACAGCGGCUUUCGUCCUGUCAACCGAAAGAGGCAGUCGGUCCUACAUUUCUUUUGCUUGGACAAGACGAUGUAGGAAAAGAUAUACUGUUUUUAUGGUGCUCACGCUGAACAGGAGCGACAGCCUAGCAAG
rnacentral:lncRNA from 1 species